rfam:Vigna angularis cultivar Jingnong 6 scaffold58_90, whole genome shotgun sequence.
AGAAUACAUUUGAGCCAAGGAUGACUUGCCGGCAUCAAGGUUUUACUCUUUUGAAGGUGUUGCUGGCGAGACAUCUUGGUUCACUUUUGCUCU